CCAGGGGUUCCAAAACCACAGAAGAAGUAGAAAUGGCAUCUUGGAGCUGAUGAAGCAAAACGAGCCCAGACAUCCCAUGGCCUUUCUAGGGCAGGGACUCCACCUGCCUUCCCUCACCACGUGUCUGACGGAGAAGCUCUUUGCAACCAAAGCAGGCCCUUCACAGGGCUUUGUGACGCAGUGCAGGGGCAGGACACUGAAAGGGAUUAGGGGAGCCUGCGGCAAGCUCCCCAGAUAUACUUGUUUGUAACCUAGGAGGAUGUCCUGCUUGCAAUGACCUGAUCCUGAUCUUCCGUCAUGGCCAGUGCUGAAAGGUUGAAGUCCAGUGUCAACACAUCUGGAAAAAAUAAAAUCCUCCUAUGGCUUCUUGAGAUGGGGACUGCAACCAGGGUGGAUGGGUACCUCAGACUGUGAAAAUAUAUCCUGUCCAAAAGAGCCACGAAGUCUUCAUAUAAAGAACAGCAUGAUGACAAGGCA